CCGCGCCACCCCACCUAGCGCGGCAGGGGGCAAUACAGAGGCCGCGCCAGCCUCCCUCCCUCCCUCUCCCUCACUGUCUUCUUCCUCCACCCGACCGGCUGGGAGCUUGCAACUCCAUUACCGGCGACCACCGGCCCUCCUCUGCCCAAGUCCGGCCCCGAUUGGUAUUGGUGGUCGCCCCCCAAGUUUUUCCCUCUUCUCGUGCGAGGUAACUUAUUCAGAUAGCUGAAAAGAAGCUCAUCUCAGUUAUAGCGGAAAGUUCCACAAUGAGAAAGAAGCACUCGAUGGUCAGAGCGAUGGUUCCUUUUUAAACCUGAACACAGUUCAGACGGGAAAUAGAUUGGCUAUAGCCGUCACAUAUACGUUGGUAGGUAUUUCAGUUUUAUCUUAUUCUUCUAUCAACAGAUUUAUGCAUUGCCCUCCUUUGAUAACAGUGGCUGUACGAAACCAAAGUAAAUUUACUAUCGAUAACCAGUGUGAAAUCAUCAGUAGUGGUGAUUUCUGCUAGCAGUGGUUGUACACAACUUUUUUCUACUGUAUAUUUCUGCUAGCAGUGGCUGUACAUGACUUUUUAUACUGUAUGUUUGUGCUAGCAGUGGCUAUACACAACUAUAUUCCUC